UCCGUAGGUGAACCUGCGGAAGGAUCAUUGUCGAAUCCUAGAAAGCACGACCGAGGACAAGUAAAUUAAUUGGGUAAGCGUCGGGUUGCCCUUUGGGCAUCUCGUCGCCCCCGCCCGGACGGUCAGGAGUCUUCGGCUCCAGCCGUCCGGACCUAACGAACCCCGGCGCGAACAGCGCCAAGGAACUAUAAACGAGUGAGCUCAUCCACGUGGUCCGACCACGGGCUGCGUGGGGGAAGGUCUACCAAAUACAAUAACGACUCUCGGCAACGGAUAUCUCGGCUCUCGCAUCGAUGAAGAACGUAGCGAAAUGCGAUACUUGGUGUGAAUUGCAGAAUCCCGUGAACCAUCGAGUCUUUGAACGCAAGUUGCGCCCGAAGCCAUUAGGCCGAGGGCACGUCUGCCUGGGCGUCACGUAUUGUGUUGCCCCCCACACGUAUGCGCGUGGGGAGCGAAGCUUGGCCUCCCGUGAGCUCCAACUCGCGGAUGGCUUAAAAACGAGCCUCGAGACGGCGAUGACGUCGCGACAAGUGGUGGUUAAGAGGCCUUCGAGCCUUAGAGCUUUGCGAGUUGCGCGUCUGCCGAUCCUUCUCGUGCCCAAAAGUAACCCGAGCGGUGCGUCCCCGACGCCGCCAGCAUCGCGACCCCAGGUCAGGCGGGACUACCCGCUGAGUUAA
rnacentral:rRNA from 1 species